AAUAAUAUCCACAUAUUUGUUACUAUGGCCUAAAGAAAUUACUCACGUGAGACGCUUACGGCCGAGGUCACGUGGGGUUCAAAGCAGAAGUAACUGCCUAGCGAAGAACAUGGAAACUCAUUAGCUGCAGAGACGAGCAGACGGCCCAAAGAGCAGAAGAGCGAGCACGCCGAUGUGAACCGUAUCGAGACCGCAGUUGACGGCUGAACGCCUUUGAUCCCGCAUGACAGAGCGAUGAACUUUGGGUUUCGUGUGAAAGAGUAGGAAAAUCGAUAUUGUAAGGCCUCAUUUGUUAAAGCGUGGUGUGAACUGUGUCAAGAUUCAGAAACCUGCAUGAGAGAUAAAGUCCUUGAAGAUGAAGGUGAAUCAGAGAGAUCAGAGAUGUUAAGAGAGACACCGGGGUUUCUGAUAAGCCCCCGGAAGGGAUAAGGCGAGG